rnacentral:rRNA from 1 species
UACGUAGGGGUGCAAGCGUUGUCCGGAAUUAUUGGGCGUAAAGAGCUUGUAGGCGGUUUGUCGCGUCUGCUGUGAAAUUUCGGGGGCUCAACCCCCGAACUUGCAGUGGGUACGGGCAGACUAGAGUGUGGUAGGGGGAGACUGGAAUUCCUGGUGUAGCGGUGAAAUGCGCAGAUAUCAGGAGGAACACCGAUGGCGAAGGCAGGUCUCUGGGCCACUACUGACGCUGAGAAGCGAAAGCAUGGGGAGCGAACAGG